AGUGAACGCUGGCGGUAGGCCUAACACAUGCAAGUCGAACGGCAGCACAGUAAGAGCCUGCUCUUACGGGUGGCGAGUGGCGGACGGGUGAGGAAUACAUCGGAAUCUACUUUUUCGUGGGGGAUAACGUAGGGAAACUUACGCUAAUACCGCAUACGACCUACGGGUGAAAGCAGGGGAUCUUCGGACCUUGCGCGAUUGAAUGAGCCGAUGUCGGAUUAGCUAGUUGGCGGGGUAAAGGCCCACCAAGGCGACGAUCCGUGGCUGGUCUGAGAGGAUGAUCAGCCACACUGGAACUGAGACACGGUCCAGACUCCUACGGGAGGCAGCAGUGGGGAAUAUUGGACAAUGGGCGCAAGCCUGAUCCAGCCAUACCGCGUGGGUGAAGAAGGCCUUCGGGUUGUAAAGCCCUUUUGUUGGGAAAGAAAAGCAGCAGGUUAAUACCCCGCUGUUCUGACGGUACCCAAAGAAUAAGCACCGGCUAACUUCGUG
rnacentral:rRNA from 1 species